CAACAUCCAGUUAGAUAAUUUGCCCACAAGGCAAGUUUGUUUUGUUUUCACAAUGUUCUGCUACUUGAGAUUAUUUAUUCACUGCAGCAGAGCAAUGAACUAGUCUGAUUUGUUAAGCAAGCACUGUGAGGAUAGAUAAUGCUGGAUUAUCUUUCGUGGAAAACUGGAGUGAGAAGCAAUGAACUGUCACCCAGUGCAUCGUGUUCCAGGAUGGGCUAGAAAAACUGGUACGGGUGCAACUGUGGAGAAACAAAUCUAUGGACCAAGUAAUGUGGUGUGAUCACGUGAACUGAAAUGCCAAACUCUGCAGAACUGCAAGAAAAAGAACUGGGAGUAGCUGCCAGCAAGAGCCGCUCGCAGGGAAAGGUAGUGGCUGUUUACCUGGAUUGCUCAGCCAGACCAGGGAGGACAGACCCACUUGCGUUCUCCAACAGAAGACAGUGACACGACACAAAUGGUAGCACAAGGCUCUUACCAUUC
rnacentral:lncRNA from 1 species